CCAAUACUACAUUUAUUGGCCUAUAUAAGCACCACAACCUUACACGAUAGGUUUUACUCUAACCUGUCUCUACCUCAAGCUUAUAUUAGUUUGGCCGCCGUCAAAGAGUUUUUUGCAGGUACCCCUUUUAAUCUUUUCUAGAACCUUACGACUUUCUGAUCAAAUUUUUUUCUCACAAAUCUUCAUCUAACCAUCGCUCGUUUUCAUAUCUUGUUUUCCACUCCAAUCGCACUCCAUCAUCUAACAACUAUGAAACACCUUCAUAUCUAUCAUUUUCCAUUUCAAUGGAUCUCAUAUCAAAAUUAGAUCCCUACUAAUUUGUCUAUCGAUUUUCCAAUCUCCCCUCAUCCAAUUUUUUUCUCGUGAAUCCGUCUGAAUCUGAGGUAUGUUAAGGGUUUUGAUUUUUAGAUUUAAUGCUAAGUUGAUUCUUAACUUUUCUUACUGAUUAUGUGUUGAUAAUUAACUUUGAUAUUUCUAGGUUCAUUGUGAUAUUUCGAGAAUGUAUUGAAUUUUUUGAGCUUCUUCGAUCAAUUUAACUUCAAUUAGAGAAUCUAGGGUAUUUUAAAAAGCUUUAUUUUAUUCCUUUUCUGCAUUGUUUUACGUUGAUUAAUAGAAAAUGAUAUGAAAUGAGAAAAUGUUGAUCAAUUUUUUCAUGUUUUUUUUGUUUGUUUUGUUGGUUUGUUGGUGGAUGAUUGAGGAAACUCAUUUAGAAUUUUUUGUGUUUACAAUUUUAUUUUUUGUUUUUCAGUAAUUGAUGUUUAGGGGAAUUGGAGGAUCUAUUGGUCAAUAAAAGAUAUUUCGAAAAUUUUAUUUUUGAAUCUCUCGUUUAUUUGAUUUGCGUCGACCUUACACAUCUCUCGUGAAUCAGGUUUGUUCACUUUGUCAUGUUUAUAUUAAGUUUAUAAUUGAUUGAUAUGGUACUGAUUUUAAGGUUGGAUUCUUUCAAAGUUUUGCUUUAUCUUUAUGCUUCUAAUGAACCAUUAUAGCUAAUCCUUGUUAUAAACACCAUACUAGACAGUCAAUCUACUUAUAUUCUAAAGUCCAUAGGAAAGUUGUGUUUAGUUGUCACGACUUGUCCUUUAAUUUAUUGAUGAAAUCAUGCAAAUUGUUAAAUUGUUGAGGUGACACUUUAUUUAUAUUCAAAUAUAAAAUGAAAACUAUGAGUAUAAAAACUACUUUGAAAUUUGUUAAAUAGUUAAUUAUCAUGAUCAUGAAGAUGAGUUUUCUCAACCCUUUUGCUAUUAGGACACCCACAUCAUAAUCAUUUCUUUUCACAAACACUAGAAUUAUACUUUGAGAAUAAAUUAGCAUGCAUUUUUCUCGGAAUUUCUUCUAAAUUAAUAGUCUGUUUUUAUUUUUUAUAAAGGUUAUACCAUUAAUACCAUUUUCUUAAAAUGCAAAAUAAUACAUAUUAAAAUUUAAUUACCAAUGAAUAAUAUUCAUUACUUUUAUUUGUUAAAAAUAGUUCAUUGAUAAUUUUUAUGCUGAAAUAUUUUAUUUAUUUUUGACGAUUUAAUUUUUGUGAAAAAUAAACAUAAAUAUAUACUAUGAAUAUUUCAAUAAAUAAACAUAACUUAUUAUUCCAGUCUAGCUUAGGUUCACAACAACGAUUAAUAUAUGAACCUUUAGAUGGUGGUGUUUGGUCAAAAUCCACCUAUUCACCCCAACGGUGGGUGUGUACCUAAAAAUAAUAUGACGCUCAAGUUAGUGUUCGCCUUAGGUAAAGUUUAGAUUUUGAACGAAGUAUACCUUCAAUAGGGUUGAUGUGAUACUUAUAUAUAUAUACUCUAAAAGAUGUGGUAGUCGGAUCUUGAGGAAACCUCAAUCCGUCUCUCUAGAAAAUUUAAGAUUUGGUAUCAAUCUAGAGUUUGAGAAGUUUAACUUGAACUCUAGAUAUAAGAAAUGUCUUCUAGGUCUUACAUGAUUGAGGACCGAAAUAAAAAUAUCUUAAGAUUACUGACAUAUUUCCCUUUGAUCUGCCAUGGCUUGUGAAUAAAAAAAUCCUCACUAAUCAACGGAGAAAGAAGAAAAAAGAGAUCUUGAAUGAAGGUGGAUGACGGUGAAUAUGAAUAAUUUUAUCCACCUUUACUCCACCAUUCCAGAUCUACUUUUUCUUCUUUCUAUGUUGAUUUUUUAGAAUUGUAUUUAUUCACAAUCACAACAGAUAAGAGAGAAAUGUGUCAACAAUAUUAAGAUAUUUUUAUUUUCAGUCCUAAAUCAUGUUAAAUCUGGAAGAUAUUUCUCAGAUCUAGAUUUCAAGUUGAACUUUCGAAACUCUAGAUUGAUAUACAUGAUCAUAAAUUUUAUUGAGAGAUGGAUUGAGGUUUCCUCAAGAUCUAAAAAAUAACACAUCUUUUAAAGUAUAUAAGCAUCACAUCAACCCUAUUGAAGCUUCGUUCAAAAUCUAGACUCUACCUAAAACAAACACUAAUUUGAGCGUCAAAUUAUUUGUAGGUGCACACCGAUGCACCGUCGGGGUGAAUACAUGGAUUCCAGCCAAACACCAUCUAAUUAAGGUUUAUAAAUUCAUCGUUGUUGUGAACCUGAGCUAUGGUCUAGAACAAUAAGUUACGUCUAUUUAUUGAAACAUUCAUGGUAUAUACUUAUGUUUAUUAUUCACAAAAACUAAAUCAUCAAAAAUAGUCAAAAUAAAUAAACUAUUUCAGCAUAAAAGUUAUUAAUGACAAACAAAAUCAAUAAAUUUUAUUCAUCGGUAAUUAUAUUUUAAUAUGUAUUAUUUUUAUUUUAGGAAAAUGAUAUUACUGGUAUAACUUUUAUAAAAAAACAUAACAAUAGACUAUUUAUUUAGAAGAAACUCUAAAUUAUAAUAAAAUUUAUAAUUUUAAUACACUUUAAAGAUUUUUAUCAAUAUAGUACUAAUCGGUAAAACAUAAAUAUUCAGUCAAAAUAAAAUAAAUACGACUAGUUCUAAAAAUUUAUAUAUUAAUAUCAUUUACAAUUUUCUUAUAUAGCAACUCCAUCCCUGAAGUUGCACGCGUCAAUCAAAUUCAUCCUUGAAUUAUUUGAAAUAACUAAAAUUUCUGAGUUUGUGAAAGUUACUUCAAAUCAGUCCCACAGUUAACUUAACUGUUAAUGGUGUUGACAUGUCAUGUUAUCUGCUUACGCGUCAUUCCACAUAAUCAGCCACAUCUCUAGGGAUCCUUCCAUAUCAUCAGCCAUGUGUCCAGGGGACCAAUUUGAUUGAUUUUGAAAUUCGGAUGGCAAAUAUUUCACUAUUCACAACGGUUCAAAUUUCACUAUUUUCAUGAAAUGAUUAUCUGUUGUUGGUUCACCCUUCAACAUAUAAUUCAUUGUUAAAAUUCCAUUUUCUUCUUCAUACUUUGAAAUUGUCGUAGAAACAUUUUUGUCAAAUUUUACUUUAUCUUUCCACCAGCCACUUAGAUUUAGGAUGAGCCACUCAUUGGUUUUCCAUCUUUAAGUACUAUUCCAUAUAAGAAACCGCGAAUAUCACAUUCUUCCAUCAUCUUUAAAAUUUUAGGGAUGGCGAAAGAAUGUGAUAUUCGAGAUUUCAUCUAUGGAAUAGUACUUGAAAAUGGCAAACCAGUGAGUGGUUUAUUAUAAAAUACCUAGGAGGUUGGUGGAACGAAAAAGUAAUAUUUAAUAGAACGACAGUUCAACAAGAGCAAAGUAUGAAGAAGAAAAUAGAAUUUCAAUAAUGGAUGAUAUGUUGAAGAGUGAACCAACAACACACUUACUCACUCCAUGACCUACCUGAAACAACAUUAGAUUCACUUUUAUCAUUAUUAAUGUAACAUUGUGAACUAGCACAAAAAGGAGAUAUCCCUCGGAGAGAGGUGUUCAACUACCAUAUGGUGGCCAACAUGGAAAAAAUGUUGGUUGAGUGAAAUGGAAUUUAUUGAAGAUCUUGGCCCACCAACUUACAAAAAUCUGUUGGUGCAGAUGACUGAAAAUGAUUAACCGGAGGCGUGUAAUAACUAAACUAAGGAAUUAUCCGCAAAUAUUGCGCAACUCCUCCAGAAUACAACCGGUUCUUCUCGAUGAUAAACGUACCGAGGCUAUCAAGACACAAGAAUAUCAACAAAGUUGAUAACUCAGGC
rnacentral:lncRNA from 1 species